rnacentral:miRNA from 1 species
UGUGAGGUUGUCAUGCCUGC